rnacentral:rRNA from 1 species
GACGAACGCUGGCGGCGUGCUUAACACAUGCAAGUCGAACGGAAAGGCCCUGCUUUUGUGGGGUGCUCGAGUGGCGAACGGGUGAGUAACACGUGAGUAGCCUGCCCUUGACUUUGGGAUAACUUCAGGAAACUGGGGCUAAUACCGGAUAGGAGCUCCUGCUGCAUGGUGGGGGUUGGAAAGUUUCGGCGGUUGGGGAUGGACUCGCGGCUUAUCAGCUUGUUGGUGGGGUAGUGGCUUACCAAGGCUUUGACGGGUAGCCGGCCUGAGAGGGUGACCGGCCACAUUGGGACUGAGAUACGGCCCAGACUCCUACGGGAGGCAGCAGUGGGGAAUAUUGCACAAUGGGCGGAAGCCUGAUGCAGCAACGCCGCGUGCGGGAUGACGGCCUUCGGGUUGUAAACCGCUUCCGCCUGUGACGAAGCGUGAGUGACGGUAAUGGGUAAAGAAGCACCGGCUAACUACGUG